CAAUGUCAAAUCAUACACAAAUAUUUUGCUAAAAAAUAACUGUAAAAAAUGCCUGCUUUAGACGAUUUACCAAAUGUGUCCAGCUUCUUUGGGAUCGAUUUGAAAACAGGAUCAAUGAUUAUAGCAGCCUUGGGUAUCGUACACCCAAUGGCUUACGGCUGUUCAUUCUUCGUUCCUCUGAGCUAUCUUCUAGUGACAGUUUGGAUAUUAGUAGCUCUAUACUUUGCAGCAAGUAUAGUUUUGUUUUGGGGAUUAACAAACGAUGACACAUACCUAUGUGGAAUAUGGAUAUGGUAUGCGCUAAUAUUUGUGGUGGUGAUGUUGAUGAUGAUGAUGUUGUUGGCUCUGGUCUUCACCUCCAGGAAACAGAGGAACCGAGUUGUCGUCGUUUUAUUUGGCAUUUUAUGGUACAUAUUAACCAUUUACUUCAUAAUCGUCGUGAAUAGCUAUCGAAAACAGCUGCUGGGUGCGACAACGUUCACUGAUUCGAUUUUAGACAAGGAUAC